AUAUAUAUAUAUAUAUAGUUAUCUGGUUACAAACAUGAUAAUAAUUAUGCUUAUGCCCGAUAAACUUAAAAACACACAGUAAUGAAUUCUACCAACCAUGGUUUGUAAAAACAUGUAAUAUCUGAAACAUAUAUAGAUCACUGUUUUACUGACACUUCUGAUGUGAAAAUGUGAGUUUAUAGCCGAAGAAGUGUAAGAACCAUUAUUUGAAUUAUGAAAACAAUAGACAGAAAAGGUAGCUAGGUUUUCAACACGCAGCAUAGUACUUACACUUAACAUUAUGUUCAAUUCUUGCCAUGAAAAUCACUCCCUCUAAAAAAGCAAGAAC
rnacentral:lncRNA from 1 species